GCUGCUCCUAUAGGCUUUCUAGGUGAAGCUGCUGUGUUGCAUGUCCUUUAGUAGGUGACAGAGAAGAGAGAGUCCAUGCCUCUCUUCAGUGUUAUGGCCAGUGAACAUCUGAAUGAUUAGUAGUCUAACAUU